rnacentral:lncRNA from 1 species
CUUGUGUACACGUAUGGGAAGUUAAGUCGCCUUCUGUGUUUAGGGUUCACAGAUACUAUACCUCCCAUUUAGGUAUAGUAACGUCCCCUACCAUACAGUCCACAAUGCAUCCACAAACUUGAGAGUGAGGAGGCUCAGUUUGACCAAGUGAGGUUGCUCACUUAAAAAAAACAAGAUAUCUUUUCCACGCCGUACCAUAUGUACCAAGUAAC